rnacentral:tRNA from 176 species
GCCGCCGUGGUGAAAUCGGUAGACACGCUGCUCUUAGGAAGCAGUGCUAAAGCAUCUCGGUUCGAGUCCGAGUGGCGGCA